GUGAGAUCUUGACCUGAGCUGAAGUCAGACGCUCAACUGACUGAACCACCCAGGCGCCCCAAAAGGUGCCCUCUAAAAGGCACUGUGAGCUUUAGAUGAGUCCUUUUGUUAACAUACAUAGGGGACAGAAGGACACACAGGGGACAGGACACAGUAGGGAACAGAAGGACACAGGAUAGAAGAACAUACAUGGGGACAGAAGGAGUCACACGGGGACCAAAGGAGACACAUAGGGGACAGAAGGACACAGGAGACAGAAGGACACACGGGGACAUAGGACACACAAGGGACAGAAUGCAGGACAGCAGGACACACGUAGGUGACAGAAGGACAUCUGUUGGUGGGACGGGACUGGGUGGGAGGUGGGGUGGAGAGAACUAGGAUGAUGAAGAUCAGUACAGCCAAGGUCAAAGUGACCCAGCUUUGCUGGAGGUCAUUUACUGAGCUUCUACUGAGAGCGAUAGGUUAGCGCAGAGCAUCUGCAACUUCCUGGUACAAUUUCAAGGAAAAGGAAAGCAAGGAAAAUGCACACGUGUCCUCAAGCACUGGCAGACAUGACACCACGCAUUCCCUCUGGCGAAAUGAGGUCGGUCAGGCCUGUUCCUUUUUGCGUCGGCAAAGGGAUUUUCACCUGCUUGUGUUGAAAGAACACUAAAUGUGAACUGAAGAAACUUGGAGGGAAGUGGGGACCAGAAGAUCUUCAGCCUGCUCAUCCUCCAGUCAGAAUCCUGUGUAUUUGAGGGUGAUCUUACUCUCUGGUGGUCCCCUGCACAACCCUGCAUGGGCCACGGGACAAUUCACUUGCUUGGAAGCUUUCCCUGGUGACCACUGGAGGGACGGGGUGUCCCAGAGCCCCGCUCCUGAGUCCCAGGACCGUGCUGGAGCCGGGACAGCAGAGCAGACCCUGACCUAAGGAGCCCCCCAUCUCCGGGGAGACAGCGCCACAGGAUCGUGUGAAGCUGUCCAAGGUAAUGUUGGAGAUGGCCACGUGCUUGACAAACAAGAACUGAAAAUAAGUUGAUGAAAAUACUUGAAAACAAGGCAAAAAUCAGCCAGGGUGGUGACUAGUAAGUGCUUUAAUUAGCAAGAGAUUUCAUGCAGACCUUGGGGAAAAUUUCUUGAAGUCCUUUUAUGUUUUUAUACAAAUGACCCUCUCUGUGAUGAUUUUGGGAUGGUCAAACAUGAUGAAGGAUUUCAGGAAGUGAUGCCAAAAAUACAGUGAAUUCUUGGCUUUUUGGAAUUGUAAACUAAGAGACAAUAUACUUCUUUUUAUUUCAGUAUGUUUUUCAAAAUAAAAUACAAAAAUACUUGUUUUCUAUGAAAUUUUGCUUUCCUGUUAGAGUUCAUUUUAGAUGGCUACUUUUGGACACCAAUAUUUACUGCAUUUGCUAAUUUUCCAUCUUCAUUUUUUUAAAAAAAUUUUAAUGUUUAUUUUCGUAAGAGAUGGAGAGAGG